AAAGAGGCUGAAGGGAUGGAUGAGGCUGAGAGUCGAGACCAAUCCAAUUAAUUUUUUGCCACUGUUAAAACUAGUUGUAUUGACAGGUCCUUCCAUUGUCACCCUGGCAGAAAGCUUAAGACUUCCCUUCUCCAAGCUGUGGUUUCCCUUCUCCUGAGAAUGGGAAUGAUAAUGCCUAUCUUGCAGGGCUGCUGAGGGAAUUCAAUGGUAUGAUGAGGGCACAGAGCCUAGCAUGCAGUAGGCAUACAAGAAGUGGUAGCAGUUAUUGUUUUCUCCCCCCGACACGUCACGCACAUCAACAACCUGUAUACCAUCGUUGCUUUCUCUGUACCUGGCUACCACAAGUAUCCCACACAGUCAGCUUCACAGACAAGGCAGAUGCAGCAUUGCCCCAAUCUGGCUGCCUUUGCCUGUGGCCCCUGGAGAGCAGGCAAACUCUGUCUUCGCAGGGCUGGAUGAGCCCCAGAGGGCAAACUAAGCUUUGUCGUCAGAGAGAACUGGCCUUUAAGCUAAAAAGGAAAUGGAACAGAAGCUGUUUUUAGAGUUCAAAACAUCCAGGUACCUCUCCUUUCCAUUUUAAGACACUGCCCGGUGUUCACCGUUAAGAGGCUGGCUUCAAGGAGCAGGGUUGUAAUUCUAAGGCCAGGCUGCAGCACUAUUUCUGAUCCACCUGAAACCAUGUCCUGUGCCAGGUGCUACAGUUACCAAGGUAGCCAAGAGACAGGCCCUGUCCUCUAGGAGAUGCAGUCUAACUGGGAAAAACUAGACCUCCUCUCAUCAUUCAUCCCAACAGUAGGCUCUGCUGUGAGCUCUCCAGGGGCACCAAUAACUGAGAGAAGAGCUUCACCGCCAAAACAGAGCAAGACAUGACAACAAACAAAUUAUAGCUACUGGAGGUAAUAAUUCAUUUUUAGGAAAAUUGCCUACCUUUCCUCACUGUCCUUGGAUUAGAUGGUCAACAUCGAAAGCAGAAAGAUGACCAAGAACCCUCUUCUGUCUACACUUUACUGUUUCUCCCUAAUAAAAUAUCUACCAAUGCAUACAAGACCCAAUUGCCAUCUUUAUCAAAGCAACAGAGGGGAAGCUGUUGCACAGCCUAACAUCCUUGGGGUAUGAUCUACCUCUUAGCCCACUUUUACCAGCGUGGCCACCCAAAGUGUGAACAUACAUGGUCGACUAAAGACGGCCACAAAUUCUUCGUACGUCCCCCAUAAGAG
rnacentral:lncRNA from 1 species